AGCCGACCGGGUGACCGCGGCACCAAUCCUCCGGGCACGGUGCUGAGGAAGGUCGGGGCUCCCCAGGACAGGAUGCUGGCUCGCGGCCAGUCGGGGCGACCCGCAGGAAAGUGCCACAGAAAACAGACCGCCGAUGGCCUGCACCCUUCGGGACUGCGGGCACAGGUAAGGGUGAAACGGUGCGGUAAGAGCGCACCAGCGACCGGGGUGACCCGGCCGGCUAGGCAAACCCCAUCCGGAGCAAGGCCGAACAGGGAGAGGGUGGUCCGCCCGUCGAUCCUCCCGGGUUGGCCGCAUAGAUGGAUGGUCACCCACCCGGAGUCCCGUAAGGGCCCGGUGGACAGAACCCCGCCUACAGGUCGGCUCA
rnacentral:RNase_P_RNA from 1 species